AGUGAACGCUGGCGGUAGGCCUAACACAUGCAAGUCGAACGGCAGCACAGUAAGAGCUUGCUCUUACGGGUGGCGAGUGGCGGACGGGUGAGGAAUACAUCGGAAUCUACUUUUUCGUGGGGGAUAACGUAGGGAAACUUACGCUAAUACCGCAUACGACCUACGGGUGAAAGCAGGGGAUCUUCGGACCUUGCGCGAUUGAAUGAGCCGAUGUCGGAUUAGCUAGUUGGCGGGGUAAAGGCCCACCAAGGCGACGAUCCGUAGCUGGUCUGAGAGGAUGAUCAGCCACACUGGAACUGAGACACGGUCCAGACUCCUACGGGAGGCAGCAGUGGGGAAUAUUGGACAAUGGGCGCAAGCCUGAUCCAGCCAUACCGCGUGGGUGAAGAAGGCCUUCGGGUUGUAAAGCCCUUUUGUUGGGAAAGAAAAGCAGCAGAUUAAUACCCCGCUGUUCUGACGGUACCCAAAGAAUAAGCACCGACUAACUUCGUG
rnacentral:rRNA from 1 species